AUUGAACGCUGGCGGCAGGCCUAACACAUGCAAGUCGAACGGUAACAGGAAACAGCUUGCUGUUUCGCUGACGAGUGGCGGACGGGUGAGUAAUGUCUGGGAAACUGCCUGAUGGAGGGGGAUAACUACUGGAAACGGUAGCUAAUACCGCAUAACGUCGCAAGACCAAAGAGGGGGACCCUCGGGCCUCUUGCCAUCGGAUGUGCCCAGAUGGGAUUAGCUUGUUGGUGGGGUAACGGCUCACCAAGGCGACGAUCCCUAGCUGGUCUGAGAGGAUGACCAGCCACACUGGAACUGAGACACGGUCCAGACUCCUACGGGAGGCAGCAGUGGGGGAUAUUGCACAAUGGGCGCAAGCCUGAUGCAGCCAUGCCGCGUGUAUGAAGAAGGCCUUCGGGUUGUAAAGUACUUUCAGCGGGGAGGAAGGGAGUAAAGUUAAUACCUUUGCUCAUUGACGUUACCCGCAGAAGAAGCACCGGCUAACUCCGUG
rnacentral:rRNA from 1 species